GCAAACUUGGUCAUUUAGAGGAAGUAAAAGUCGUAACAAGGUUUCCGUAGGUGAACCUGCGGAAGGAUCAUUGCUGAGCGUGGUGUCCCUUGACGGGAGUACUCCUCCUCCAAGGGCACCUUUCUCACAAACCCAUGUGAACUCGUGAAUGUGACUGGGCCAACGCGUCCGCGCGUUUGGUUCCUUUUUUACAAUCACCCCAACAACUGUCUUCUCUGACUGAGAUAAAAGGAUCACGCCUAAAAACGCGAUCUGAAACAAGACAAACUAUCACAACUUUUAACAACGGAUAUCUUGGCUCGCGCAUCGAUGAAGAACGCAGC
rnacentral:misc_RNA from 1 species